UACGUAGGGUGCAAGCGUUGUCCGGAAUUAUUGGGCGUAAAGAGCUCGUAGGCGGUUUGUCGCGUCUGCUGUGAAAACUCGGGGCUUAACCCCGGGCCUGCAGUGGGUACGGGGCAGACUAGAGUGCGGUAGGGGAGACUGGAAUUCCUGGUGUAGCGGUGAAAUGCGCAGAUAUCAGGAGGAACACCGAUGGCGAAGGCAGGUCUCUGGGCAUUAACUGACGCUGAGGAGCGAAAGCAUGGGGAGCGAACAGGA
rnacentral:rRNA from 1 species